AGACCGGCGCACGGGUGCGUAACGCGUAUGCAAUCUACCUUGUACAAAGGGAUAGCCCAGAGAAAUUUGGAUUAAUACCUUAUAGUAUGUAGAAGUGGCAUCACUUUUAUAUUAAAGAUUUAUCGGUACAAGAUGAGCAUGCGUCCCAUUAGCUAGUUGGUAUGGUAACGGCAUACCAAGGCAACGAUGGGUAGGGGUCCUGAGAGGGAGAUCCCCCACACUGGUACUGAGACACGGACCAGACUCCUACGGGAGGCAGCAGUGAGGAAUAUUGGUCAAUGGGCGCAAGCCUGAACCAGCCAUGCCGCGUGCAGGAUGACGGUCCUAUGGAUUGUAAACUGCUUUUAUACAGGAAGAAACCCUACCACGUGUGGUAGAUUGACGGUACUGUAAGAAUAAGGAUCGGCUAACUCCGUGCCAGCAGCCGCGGUAAUACGGAGGAUCCAAGCGUUAUCCGGAAUCAUUGGGUUUAAAGGGUCCGUAGGCGGUUUUAUAAGUCAGUGGUGAAAUCCGGCAGCUCAACUGUCGAACUGCCAUUGAUACUGUAGAACUUGAAUUAUUAUGAAGUAACUAGAAUAUGUAGUGUAGCGGUGAAAUGCU
rnacentral:rRNA from 1 species